UGCUCCUACCGAUACCGGGUGAUCCGGUGAACCUUUUGGACCGCUUUGCGGAAAAAUAAGUAAACCAUAUCACCUAGAGGAAGGAGAAGUGUAACAAGGUUUCCGUAGGUGAACCUGCGGAAGGAUCA
rnacentral:rRNA from 1 species